rnacentral:lncRNA from 1 species
CUGCCAGUCUCCCCAGAAGGACGAAAUGGAAGCGGGUGCUUCAUCGUCCCUUUUUGGGACAGAAGGUCAACGACACAAACAGGAUAAUAGCCAGGCACGGGGUGCUGGCCGUGCCUCAGCCCAGUGAAACCUGGGAACCUGAUGCAAGCACACGGGAACUUGCUCCGCUGGCAACUUCCACAGUGUCUUUCGUCAGCCAAACGGUCUGUUCCAGGUCUGUGUCUUUCGUCAACAAAGUCCUUCAGAGCGGGAAUCCUGGGAGCCAGGCCUGGACUGAGCCUUUCACAAGGACCAGGUGUCUUCAUGCAGUGACUUUAGUUCCUCGCUCACUGCUCACCAUUCCCCAUGAGUUCCAGAAAUCAUGGCCCAAACUGGAGCUACCUCAGCCUGACCUGGAUGAUAUCAGCCGUGGCAUCUCUGUGUCAAUCCUGCCUCCCUGCCGCUGGCAAAUGGCAUUUCCACAGCAAUCCCGUGCUGCUUGCUGGCCUGAGCAGGACUGAGCAGAGUGCAAGGGAGCUUCUGAGCCAGAGGCAGUCCAUCCUGCAGGGACAAGUGACCACCUGUCAUCACUGCAGUGGCAUCCCAAGAAGCUGCCUGGGAGGCAUCAGUGGUGGCACUGGAAGGGGUGGAACAGCUGCAGUGACGAGUGGGUCAUUCUGGAGCACCUCUGGCCCAAAUAUCCUAAAGAUAAGGUCCAGUAAAACUCUCAGGUGUCCAUUUUGCCCACUGAAACACUGAGCAUCCU